ACACGGACCAAGGAGUAUAACAUGUGUGCGAGUCAAUGGGUCUCGAAUAAGCCCAGAGGCGCAAUGAAAGUUAAGGCCGGAUGACUCCGGCCGUGUCGAGAUCUCCGCUCCUUUGCGUGCGGAGCGCAUCGACGACCCGCUCCUGUCCGCUCGCGGACGGGGCGGAGUCCGAGCACACCCGUUAUUGCCCGAAAGAUGGUGAUCUAUGCCCGGACAGGACGAAGCUAGAGGAAACUCUGGUGGAGGUCCGCAGCGUUUCUGACGUGCAAAUCGAUCGUCAGAUCUGGGUCUAGG
rnacentral:rRNA from 1 species